rnacentral:lncRNA from 10 species
UUUCACCAACUGGACAGGUUUGCCCCAAAGCAGUGUGUUUUGCUCUGUUCUGCACUUUCGCAUACCUCAGAGUAUAUAAUUAUAGGGGAUAUCCAUAAUUAAAGAUAUGGUUAGUUUCUGAAUCUCAUGUUUGGAGUUCUGGGAGAGGGUUCUUUUUGAGUCACAAAGUGCCCAGAGUCUAUCGCUGAAGUCCUCAUCUCCUCCCACCCCUUAUAGAGAGCUCUCAAGUAUUAGCCUCCCCAAACUUCCAGGUUUCUGGCAUAAUGCGGGCUUUCAGCACCAGAAACAAGGAAUAUAGCAAGAUAUAGGAAAGAGAUCUUGUCUCAGUUGUGCCAUUUGUACAACGGAAUCAAGCAAUAACUACCCUGCAAAGUGGUGAGGUCUUAAUUGCUAACUUGAGUAUAGUGCUGAAGACAAUUGAGGGGCUGAAGAAUCAUCAAAUUCUCUUUUCUUCACUCCCAAUCCAAGUGUUUCAUUUUCCCAAAAGGAGGAAGCGAAGUGAUGUUGAGGAGCAGACCAAAACAUCUUAGGUAACACAAAUGGACACCAUAUUGAGAGAGUGGGGAGGGUACCCUUAAAUACCUCUUAAAUACCAUGAGAACAAAGAUCAGAUGAGAGGACUGACAGGGAAAGGAAGUGCCUGAUGGAAGAAUGGCAGGAAGUAGUAGAAACAGAGGGGAACAAAGUAGCAGGGAAAAUCCUGAAAGGACAGACGGAAAACAUAACCAUACUUCUGUCUUUUCCUG